rnacentral:rRNA from 5 species
GCGACCCCAGGAUGGGCGAGGCCACCCGCUGAGUUUA